UACGUAGGGUGCAAGCGUUGUCCGGAAUUAUUGGGCGUAAAGAGCUUGUAGGCGGUUUGUCGCGUCUGCUGUGAAAUUUCGGGGCUCAACCCUGAACUUGCAGUGGGUACGGGCAGACUAGAGUGUGGUAGGGGAGACUGGAAUUCCUGGUGUAGCGGUGAAAUGCGCAGAUAUCAGGAGGAACACCGAUGGCGAAGGCAGGUCGCUGGGCCACUACUGACGCUGAGAAGCGAAAGCAUGGGGAGCGAACAGG
rnacentral:rRNA from 1 species